rnacentral:rRNA from 1 species
UGACCCGUCUUGAAACACGGACCAAGGAGUUUAUCGUGUGCGCAAGUCAUUGGGUGUUGAAAACUCAAAGGCGCAAUGAAAGUAAAGAAUCCGCAAGGAUACGACGUGUGAUCUGAGCAAUCACGAUUGCCUGGAGCAACAUGGCCCCAUUCUGGUCGCUUGCGACGGGGUGGAGGAAGAGCGUACGCGGUGAGACCCGAAAGAUGGUGAACUAUUCCUGAGCAGGAUGAAGCCAGAGGAAACUCUGGUGGAAGUCCGAAGCGAUUCUGACGUGCAAAUCGAUCGUCUGACUUGGGUAUAGGGGCGAAAGACUAAUCGAACCAUCUAGUAGCUGGUUCCUUCCGAA